UACGUAGGGGGCUAGCGUUGUCCGGAUUUAUUGGGCGUAAAGAGCGUGUAGGCGGCCAGGUAGGUCUGCUGUGAAAACUCGAGGCUCAACCUCGAGACGUCGGCGGAAACCAUCUGGCUAGAGUCCGGAAGAGGAGAGUGGAAUUCCUGGUGUAGCGGUGGAAUGCGCAGAUAUCAGGAAGAACACCAACGGCGAAGGCAGCUCGCUGGGACGGUACUGACGCUGAGACGCGAAAGCGUGGGGAGCGAACAGG
rnacentral:rRNA from 1 species